rnacentral:piRNA from 1 species
AGCCUAUGAUGGUUAGUUAUCCCUGUCUGAAA